GAUGAACGCUGGCGGCGUGCCUAAUACAUGCAAGUCGAGCGAACAGACGAGGAGCUUGCUCCUCUGACGUUAGCGGCGGACGGGAGAGUAACACGUGGAUAACCUACCUAUAAGACUGGGAUAACUUCGGGAAACCGGAGCUAAUACCGGAUAAUAUAUUGAAUCGCAUGGUUCAAUAGUUAAAGACGGUUUUGCUGUCACUUAUAGAUUGAUCCGCGCCGCAUUAGCUAGUUGGGAAGGUAACGGCUUACCAAGGCAACGAUGCGUAACCGACCUGAAAGGGUGAGCGGCCACGCUGGAACGGAAGCACGGUCCGGACUCCUACGAGAGGCAGAAGUAGGGGAUCUUCCGCGAAGGGCGAAGGCCUGACGGAGCAACGCCGCGUGAGUGAUGAAGGUCGUCGGAUCGUAAAACUCUGUUAUUAGGGAAGAACAAAUGUGUAAGUAACUAGGCACGUCUUGACGGGACCUGAUCAGAAAGCCACGGCUUACUACGUU
rnacentral:rRNA from 1 species